AUAUUAACUGGAGGGAAGAUACUAUGGUCAAGAAAGUAAUCUCUCAGGGCAAGACUUAUCCUUUUCCCUUGGGAGGUACCUAGCCAAGAUUUCCCCAAAUGCAGGAAAGUCAACUGUAUACUUUGUGGUNGUGGUAGAUUGUGUUCAUACGAUUGCCCA
rnacentral:snRNA from 11 species